CGCCCACUCAUUGUGGCCUCUUCCACGGCCCCUGACCUCCUGCACUCAGCCCCAAGCUUCUCCUUACUCCCUCCUGCCAAUCAUAUCAGGACCCAUUGCCUCACUAGAUCUCCAGUCAUAGACAACUUUGCUUCCACUCUCACUCCCGACCCUGCUUUUCUCACAGCUCCGAUUACGACAGUCCAUCUCCGGGCAGCCCGCCCACUGCCUUGUGCGGCACCUGGAGCCUCCCCGACUGGGAGGUUGCACGGCAGUCGGGUCACGACCCGUGACCCAUACGGUUGCUACGCUACGCCAACUGGAGUACACGCGAUGAACUGGAGCUUCAAAUAGACAAAGGCACAGCACGGGAGUGUACCAGGGACGACACACACAGACAAAUAACACUGUAGACAAAACAAAUCAGUGCAUGAAGAGGGAAGCCGCUGAGCCCAGCCCUUGCUCAUCCCUGAGGACCGGAGAACUGGAGAGGAGGGUGGAGGAAGUCCGUGACAAAGGACACAAGAACAAAAGGGCUAGUAAGAGGAGCUGUGAUCUUACCUUCUGCAUCCUCAAGGUUGGCCACGGGGGGCUUCCCCAGAACACAAAAUGGUGGCCUGGCACAGAGAUGGACAACAGUUCACUGACCGAUCCGAAUCAAGGCAAUGUCUGCAAUAGGCCUUAAUGGCCAGCUGCAGCUUGGACUUUGAAAAUUAUGCCAAAACCUGGCGACUCUUGAAUAUGGUCUUGAAAUAGUGGACAAUUUCUAUACACUUUGUACUUAAUCUGGUACAGUAUUACAGUAUUACUAUACUGUGCUUCAGUAUAGUAAUAAUUUACUGAACUGUAUGCAAAAAAAAAAAAGAAUUUAACCGCACCUCGGUACAUGUGAUAAUAAAGAACCAUUGGAUUCUUAUUGUGAACAAACAGGUAGCAGUCCAGUUAUCAUUCCGAGUUUUUAUUUCUUCAAGCAUUUUCUAGGCUCUAGGGAUCACUGGUAUGGCUAACAUUUAGUAGCCAUCCCAAGUUGCCUCUUAAGGUGGUAAUGAGCCACCUUCUUAAACUCCUGCAGUCCAUCCAGGGAGGGUACUUAUGUAGUGCCAUCAGGUAAACUGCUGCCAGAUUUAGACUUAAUGACGAUGAAGGUGAAAUUGUUCAGAUAAAAUCUACAAGCUUUCACGAUGUCUCGUCAAGCACCAUAAAUUAGAUAUGAAUGCAAAGGUAAAAAAAAGUGGGAGUUAUCUACAGCCCCCCAAACAGUACCACAUCUG